CAGAAGAGACUGUCAACUUAGCCAAGAUUGACUACCUGCAUAAUCACACAAAAUUUUCUUAUUCAGAUUAUGAUCAUCUUCAACAAAGGCUCUCUGUAAGAUUUUAGGUAAGUCAUUCUUGGCUACUAAACAAAAGACUCUUCU
rfam:Eucalyptus grandis cultivar BRASTZ1 unplaced genomic scaffold scaffold_9, whole genome shotgun sequence.